GUGGGUAACUCUGAAAUCUUGGACAAGUCACUUCUUUCAUAAUAUAUAAAAAGUGAUUUAUGGAAAACACCUGAUAAAUGUUUUUCCUUCAAGCUCUGCCAUUUGGGACCCUGCCCUUUACCCAGAAAGGGUAACUUGAGAAAGAAACCAUGGCUGCUCUUCACCAUACAGGGAAACCCCAGGAGGAAAUAAGGCAGCCAAGAGGAGGGCUUCUAGGAGCUGAUAUCCUUCAAGUCAACAUGUGGACACAUUCAUC